rnacentral:rRNA from 1 species
UGGAGAGUUUGAUCCUGGCUCAGGACGAACGCUGGCGGCGUGCUUAACACAUGCAAGUCGAGCGGUAAGGCCCCUUCGGGGGUACACGAGCGGCGAACGGGUGAGUAACACGUGGGUGAUCUGCCUCGCACUCUGGGAUAAGCCUGGGAAACUGGGUCUAAUACCGGAUAUGACCACUGGUCGCAUGGUUGGUGGUGGAAAGAUUUAUCGGUGCGAGAUGAGCCCGCGGCCUAUCAGCUUGUUGGUGGGGUAAUGGCCUACCAAGGCGACGACGGGUAGCCGGCCUGAGAGGGCGACCGGCCACACUGGGACUGAGACACGGCCCAGACUCCUACGGGAGGCAGCAGUGGGGAAUAUUGCACAAUGGGCGAAAGCCUGAUGCAGCGACGCCGCGUGAGGGAUGACGGCCUUCGGGUUGUAAACCUCUUUCGACAGGGACGAAGCGCAAGUGACGGUACCUGUAGAAGAAGCACCGGCCAACUACGUGCCAGCAGCCGCGGUA